rnacentral:rRNA from 1 species
AGUGAACGCUGGCGGUAGGCCUAACACAUGCAAGUCGAACGGCAGCACAGUAAGAGCUUGCUCUUACGGGUGGCGAGUGGCGGACGGGUGAGGAAUACAUCGGAAUCUACUUUUUCGUGGGGGAUAACGUAGGGAAACUUACGCUACUACCGCAUACGACCUACGGGUGAAAGCAGGGGAUCUUCGGACCUUGCGCGAUUGAAUGAGCCGAUGUCGGAUUAGCUAGUUGGCGGGGUAAAGGCCCACCAAGGCGACGAUCCGUAGCUGGUCUGAGAGGAUGAUCAGCCACACUGGAACUGAGACACGGUCCAGACUCCUACGGGAGGCAGCAGUGGGGAAUAUUGGACAAUGGGCGCAAGCCUGAUCCAGCCAUACCGCGUGGGUGAAGAAGGCCUUCGGGUUGUAAAGCCCUUUUGUUGGGAAAGAAAAGUAGCAGGUUAAUACCCCGCUGUUCUGACGGUACCCAAAGAAUAAGCACCGGCUAACUUCGUG